rnacentral:rRNA from 1 species
UUUAAAUGGCCGCAGUAUACUAACUGUGCAAAGGUAGCAUAAUCAUUAGUCUUUUAAUUGAAGGCUGGUAUGAAUGGUUGGACGAGAUAUUAACUGUUUCAUGAAAAUUUAAAUUAGAAUUUUAUUUUUUAGUUAAAAAGCUAAAAUUUGUUUAAAAGACGAGAAGACCCUAUAAAUCUUUAUAUUUAAUUUAUUAUAUUUAAAUAGAUUAUUUUUGUUAUAAUAAUAAAUAAUAUUUUAUUGGGGUGAUAUUAAAAUUUAAUAAACUUUUAAUUGUUUAAAUCAUUAAUUUAUGAUUAAUUGAUCCGUUAUUAACGAUUAAAAAAAUAAGUUACUUUAGGGAUAACAGCGUAAUUUUUUUGGAGAGUUCAUAUUGAUAAAAAAGAUUGCGACCUCGAUGUUGGAUUAAGAUAUAGUUUUAGGUGUAGCCGCUUAAAUUUUAAGUCUGUUCGACUUUUAA